AUGGUGGUCACUUUAAGACACUUUAGCAUGUUGGGAAGGCAGUUGGAGAAGCUCUUAGCCACUGUCUUGAACUCAGGGUCUGGAGCAGGUGGCUGGAGACUUUUCUGUUCAACUCCACAGUGCUCUCUGAAUCCCAGAUACAGGCUUGAUGGAGGAGUAUCAGAGAGUGUUAUUGGGAUCGAAUUUUCUGUUUUGUAGUUCUUUCUGGCAAUGGAGUGAUGAUAAACUAAUG
rnacentral:lncRNA from 1 species